AUUGAACGCUGGCGGCAGGCCUAACACAUGCAAGUCGAACGAGUGGCGGACGGGUGAGUAAUGUCUGGGAAACUGCCCGAUGGAGGGGGAUAACUACUGGAAACGGUAGCUAAUACCGCAUACCAUCGGAUGUGCCCAGAUGGGAUUAGCUAGUAGGUGGGGUAACGGCUCACCUAGGCGACGAUCCCGAGCUGGUCUGGGAGGAUGACCAGCCACAAUUGAACCUGGACCAGGUCCAGACUCCUUAGGGAGGCAGCCGUGGGGAAUAUUGGACAAUUGGCGCAAGCCUGAUGCAGCCAUUCCGCGUGUAUGAAGGAGGCCUUCGGGUUGUAAAGUACCUUCAGCGAGGAGGCGUUACUCGCAGAAGAAGCACCGGCUAACUCCGUGCCAGCAGCCGCGGUAAUUC
rnacentral:rRNA from 1 species